UGGUUUGUGGCAUUUUGGCUGGUCCUCCAUAUUGCUCCAAGUCACAGAGAAAGUUAUGGCCAACAAGGAUACCGAGUUAGUUGUCACUAAUCAGAUAGGGAGUUCGGGGAUUGAGAAUGUAGGAGAUAAUGAAGAGAUUCGAAAAUUAAGGUGGCAAAUAAUAGAAAUGCAUCGAGCUUGGGCUAAUGGGUUGCCGCCUCCUCCAGUUCCCACUGAUAAUCUGAAAUAGCUUUCUAGCUUGCCUCCCGUGUCACAUGCACAAUUUUCCAUUUU
rnacentral:lncRNA from 1 species